rnacentral:rRNA from 1 species
UCCGCAGGCGGGUAAAUAAGUCAGAGGUGAAAUCCGGCAGCUCAACUGUCGCACUGCCUUUGAUACUGUUUAUCUUGAAUUUUAGUGGAGUGGGCGGAAUAUGUCAUGUAGCGGUGAAAUGCUUAGAUAUGACGUGGAACACCGAUAGCGAAGGCAGCUCACUAACUAUGAAUUGACGCUCAUGGACGAAAGCGUGGGUAGCAAACA